rnacentral:antisense_RNA from 1 species
UGUAGGAGUGAGCCUGCUCGCGAUAGCGGUGUGUCAGCCACCUAAUAGGUUGACUGGUAUGACGCUAUCGCGAGCAGGCUCACUCCUACA